CACGAUAGUUUGCUACAAAGAAAAGAGAAGCACCAACGAUUUUCAGCACCAGCGCCACAUAGUUGAAAUCGUUUAAACUGUAUGUAGCUGCUGUUCGAGCGAAGCAGUCCUUUGUAGAAUUCGAUCACGAAAGGACUUGUAAAUCGCUCAUGCGAAAUAAUUAAUUUGCAAGUUAGUAAUUUGCGUUCGGAAAUAUGUUAUAUAAAAUAUGUUAAAGUAAAAAUAUUAUCUUCGAACUAAUUGUAUUAUUUAUAUUGUUCAUUAUAUUGCACAAUCAUGUUCGUUCUUUAUUCAUUCUUUUUUCAUUCAACUUCAUUCUGUAUUAUCUGGAUAAAGAUUCCCAUUAUUUUGUUCAUCACAUGGAAUCAACGCAGCAUACUCAUUGUCCUUCGUAUUCUCCACAGGGAAAUUUCAACUCAAACAGUUGAGUAAAAUGCUGCCCAACCUCAAGGAGAAAAAAGCAAGAAACUCUCGGCUCCCUAUGUAGAGGUCCAGGGUGGAUCCCUUAGGCCAAGACUAGCCAUAAUGAAGCUGAUUAUCCUCUUUUCUGCUGAUAUCAAAGAGGUUGUAAACGAAACAAAACUAUAUCGCGGAGAAGUUGCCCACAGGGAGUACUUAUGCCAUACUUUAGUAUGCCAAUAACAAAUCCGAUAAGUCACAUAAUCCGAUAAAGCUUCCAUUUCAAAGACUGUCGAAAUUUCGCGAAGAGUUUGAUAACUGCAAACACUUCGCGGAUUUACUCGGAACGCCAAUGAUAGAGUACGAAUAUAUAAAGAACAAAAUGCAUUUACAAUAUUUGAUUACGUCUCCCGAGAAUGAAGCAUGUGCGAUAGCGUCUGCUAUCAGUGUGACAAUAAUAUUAAAAUCGCAUGGAAAACGUUGAAGGAAAAAUAUGAAAACGAAGGAGUCUUGCUUUCUUCGCUGUUAAGCUGUACAGGCUGUUCAGGCUGAUUACACUAAGUUCAAACAAACGCCAGCUUCAUUGCACAGCUUUGAUUGUAAAGUGAACGAGGCAAGUCGAUCGUAAUUCACUUAUUGACGCAGAGUUAGAUGAGGAAUAAAUGUGCGUGGAAGCUACGGAAUAUCUGACGUGCGAAUAACUAGAAGAGUUGUUGUUGAUAAAAAAAAAGGCAAAGGAUCUUUUACCGUCAAAAAACCAGCAGAAACGCUGAAGAAACACCACGAGCACAAUUAUGUCCGGUUUAUCGUACAUGUCACCUGGUAGCUUCGUUUAUUGUUUUUAAAGCGUUUCCUUCUUCGUUGCCAAAACGCGGCAGCCCUAUAUUGACUAUUUCGUGAACCGUUACAAUGUUAGAGAAAAUGUACAGGCAAGCAGACCUAUCGCGUAUGUGGUGCAAGACAUCAUUCGUUGUUGCAUUAGAGGACAGUGAUAGAAAAUACCACAGAAGUCAGGCAGGGCCAUUUUUAUAAAAAAGGAAAAGUUUCGAGCAAAGAAUUCGUUCUGAUUUCAUCACCGACG